rnacentral:rRNA from 1 species
GACGAACGCUGGCGGCGUGCUUAACACAUGCAAGUCGAACGAUGAACCCGGAGCUUGCUCUGGGGGAUUAGUGGCGAACGGGUGAGUAACACGUGAGUAACCUGCCCUGGACUCUGGGAUAAGCGUUGGAAACGACGUCUAAUACCGGAUAGGACCUUGGAACGCAUGAUCUGGGGUGGAAAGUUACUUCGGUCUGGGAUGGACUCGCGGCCUGUCAGCUUGUUGGUGAGGUAAUGGCUCACCCAGGCGUCGACGGCUAGCCGGCCUGAGCGGGCGACCGGCCACACUGGGACUGAGACACGGACCAAACUACUACGAGAGGCAGCAGUGGGGAAUAUUGCACAAGGGGCGAAAGCCUGAUGCUGCAACGCCGCGUGCGAGAUGACGGCAUUCUGGUUGGAGACCGACUUUUGUAUGGAAGAAGGGCUUCGGCUUGACGGUACCUGAAGAAAAAGGACCGGCUAACUACGUG